GAUGAACGCUGGCGGUGUGUCUAAGGCAUGCAAGUCGAGCGAGACGGUCUGCUGUAGCAAUACAAUGGAUCGUCUAGCGGCAAACGGGUGAGUAACACAUUGGUAACCUGCCUCCGAGACGGGCACAACACUGCGAAAGCGGUGCUAAUUCCCGAUGGCCUCAUCGGUGAGAAUCCGAAAGAGUAAACGCCCAAAAGGCGCUCGGAGAGGGGCCUAUGGCCUAUCAGCUAGUUGGUGCGGUAAUGGCGCACCAAGGCGACGACGGGUAGCAGGCGUGAGAGCGCGACCUGCCUCAGUGGGACUGCGACACUGCCCACACUCCUACGGGAGCUGCAGUCGAGAAUAUUCCACAAUGGGGGAAACCCUGAUGGAGCGACACCGCGUGGGGGAUGAA
rnacentral:rRNA from 1 species